CUUUGUAAAUGUUAGUAAUUUGUGGAUUUAAACCGGAUCGUUUCUACACACUGUUUCUCCUGGUUUACACGUCAGGGAUGUUGAGGAUCUCAGCGCUGUUUCAUCUGGUUUUAAGCUCGUAGAAAUCAGUAGUUUGUGGGUUUGUGUCGGAGAACUCGUCUCAGUUGCUUCACACUGGAUCUCACAGCUCUGUUUAUAACGGUCACGUGAUGGACAGCGGUGUACGAUGAAAUUACACACAAAACCCAUCUCGCUCUUCACACUGAUUCUGCUGUUUCACACUGUCCAAGCAGAAGCAUCUCAUGAUGAGGCUCUGAGGAUCCUGGUUGUGGGAGUCAGAGGUCAGUCCAGAUUCAGUGCUGCAGAUCUUCUGUCAGGAAGGAAAGACGGAGGACAGGAGGACAGAGAGAUUGUAAAGACUCCAGUAAUUACAGACGGGGCUCGUAGAAUGAUGCUGGUCACUGGACCAAACCUCUGUGAGGAGGACACAGAGAGACAGACCUUCACAACAGCGCUGUUUCUCUCGUCUCCUGGACCUCACGCCGUUCUAAUGGUCCUGAAUCUGGAAGAUCAACAAUCACAACAGUGUGAUAUUGAGA
ensembl:lncRNA